rnacentral:rRNA from 1 species
UACAGCGGGUGCAAGCGUUAAUCGGAAUUACUGGGCGUAAAGCGCACGUAGGUGGCUGGGUAAGUUGGAUGUGAAAUCCCCGGGCUUAACUUGGGAAUUGCAUUCAAGACUGCCUUGCUAGAGUGUGGAAGAGGGAAGCGGAAUUCCAGGUGUAGCGGUGAAAUGCGUAGAUAUCUGGAGGAACAUCAGUGGCGAAGGCGGCUUCCUGGUCCAACACUGACACUGAGGUGCGAAAGCGUGGGGAGCAAACAGG